rnacentral:rRNA from 1 species
UACGUAGGGUGCAAGCGUUAAUCGGAAUUACUGGGCGUAAAGCGUGCGCAGGCGGUUGUGCAAGACAGAUGUGAAAAUCCCCGGGCUCAACCUGGGAACUGCAUUUGUGACUGCACGGCUGGAGUGCGGCAGAGGGGGGAUGGAAAUUCCGCGUGUAGCAGUGAAAAUGCGUAGAUAUGCGGAGGAACACCGAUGGCGAAGGCAAUCC